ensembl:snoRNA
GCAUGGGUCGGGAUUUGGGCAGGCUCGUCCCCGGGCCUCUCCCAGUGCUCUGUGCCAGAGCAAACUGCUCCCAAGCCACUGCCUGCUCUCUGCUCUGCCUGUGGGCUGCUGGCACUGAAGCAGGUUGCACAAAG